GCAACCCUUGUCCUUAGUUACCAGCACGUUAUGGUGGGCACUCUAAGGAGAACUGCCGGUGGACAAACCGGAGGAAGGUGGGGAUGACGUCAAGUCAUCAUGGCCCUUACGGCCUGGGCUACACACGUGCUACAAUGGUCGGUACAAAGGGUUGCCAAGCCGCGAGGUGGAGCUAAAUCCCAUAAAACCGAUCGUAGUCCGGAUCGCAGUCUGCAACUCGACUGCGUGAAGUCGGAAUCGCUAGUAAUCGUGAAUCAGAAUGUCACGGUGAAUACGUUCCCGGGCCGUU
rnacentral:rRNA from 1 species